CAGCCGCCGCGGUAAUACGUAGGGUGCGAGCGUUAAUCGGAAUUACUGGGCGUAAAGCGUGCGCAGGCGGUUUGUUAAGACAGAUGUGAAAUCCCCGGGCUUAACCUGGGAACUGCAUUUGUGACUGGCCAGCUAGAGUAUGGCAGAGGGAGGUGGAAUUCCACGUGUAGCAGUGAAAUGCGUAGAUAUGUGGAGGAACACCGAUGGCGAAGGCAGCCUCCUGGGCCAAUACUGACGCUCAUGCACGAAAGCGUGGGGAGCAAACAGGAUUAGAUACCCGCGUAGUCCCUGUCUCUUAUAA
rnacentral:rRNA from 1 species